rnacentral:lncRNA from 1 species
AAGGCUUUGAUUUUGGGCAGAAAAUUAAGAGAUUGGUUGAGAAUUUUUGUGUUCACUCAAUAUCUUGACCUACCCCAAUCUUGUAAGAGAAUUUUAUGUCAAUCUAAAAUCAGAGCAUGGUACUAUGAAAACUAAGGUAAAGGGUGUCAAAAUUGUGUUUAAUGCAGCACACUUGGCAAGAUUAUUAAGAAUGAGAGCAGAGGGCAGUA